AUUGAACGCUGGCGGCAGGCCUAACACAUGCAAGUCGAGCGGCAGCGGAAAAGUAGCUUGCUACUUUUGCCGGCGAGCGGCGGACGGGUGAGUAAUGCCUGGGAAAUUGCCCAGUCGAGGGGGAUAACAGUUGGAAACGACUGCUAAUACCGCAUACGCCCUACGGGGGAAAGCAGGGGACCUUCGAGCCUUGCGCGAUUGGAUAUGCCCAGGUGGGAUUAGCUAGUUGGUGAGGUAAUGGCUCACCAAGGCGACGAUCCCUAGCUGGUCUGAGAGGAUGAUCAGCCACACUGGAACUGAGACACGGUCCAGACUCCUACGGGAGGCAGCAGUGGGGAAUAUUGCACAAUGGGGGAAACCCUGAUGCAGCCAUGCCGCGUGUGUGAAGAAGGCCUUCGGGUUGUAAAGCACUUUCAGCGAGGAGGAAAGGUUGAUGCCUAAUACGUAUCAACUGUGACGUUACUCGCAGAAGAAGCACCGGCUAACUCCGUGCCAGCAGCCGCCGUAAUAC
rnacentral:rRNA from 1 species